rnacentral:rRNA from 1 species
GGGUUGUGAGGUUAAGCGACUAAGCGUACACGGUGGAUGCCCUGGCAGUCAGAGGCGAUGAAGGACGUGCUAAUCUGCGAAAAGCGUCGGUAAGGUGAUAUGAACCGUUAUAACCGGCGAUGUCCGAAUGGGGAAACCCAGUGUGAUUCGUCACACUAUCGUUAACUGAAUACAUAGGUUAACGAGGCGAACCGGGGGAACUGAAACAUCUAAGUACCCCGAGGAAAAGAAAUCAACCGAGAUUCCCCCAGUAGCGGCGAGCGAACGGGGAGCAGCCCAGAGUCUGAAUCAGCUUGUGUGUUAGUGGAACGGUCUGGAAAGUCCGACGGUACAGGGUGAUAGUCCCGUACACCAAAAUGCACAGGCUGUGAACUCGAAGAGUAGGGCGGGACACGUGGUAUCCUGUCUGAAUAUGGGGGGACCAUCCUCCAAGGCUAAAUACUCCUGACUGACCGAUAGUGAACCAGUACCGUGAGGGAAAGGCGAAAAGAACCCCGGCGAGGGGAGUGAAAAAGAACCUGAAACCGUGUACGUACAAGCAGUGGGAGCACCUUUAUGGUGUGACUGCGUACCUUUUGUAUAAUGGGUCAGCGACUUAUAUUCUGUAGCAAGGUUAACCGUAUAGGGGAGCCGCAGGGAAACCGAGUCUUAACUGGGCGUUAAGUUGCAGGGUAUAGACCCGAAACCCGGUGAUCUAGCCAUGGGCAGGUUGAAGGUUGGGUAACACUAACUGGAGGACCGAACCGACUAAUGUUGAAAAAUUAGCGGAUGACUUGUGGCUGGGGGUGAAAGGCCAAUCAAACCGGGAGAUAGCUGGUUCUCCCCGAAAGCUAUUUAGGUAGCGCCUCGUGAAUUCAUCUUCGGGGGUAGAGCACUGUUUCGGCUAGGGGGUCAUCCCGACUUACCAACCCGAUGCAAACUACGAAUACCGAAGAAUGUUAUCACGGGAGACACACGGCGGGUGCUAACGUCCGUCGUGAAGAGGGAAACAACCCAGACCGCCAGCUAAGGUCCCAAAGUCAUGGUUAAGUGGGAAACGAUGUGGGAAGGCACAGACAGCCAGGAUGUUGGCUUAGAAGCAGCCAUCAUUUAAAGAAAGCGUAAUAGCUCACUGGUCGAGUCGGCCUGCGCGGAAGAUGUAACGGGGCUAAACC